GACGAACGCUGGCGGCGUGCUUAACACAUGCAAGUCGAACGGUAAGGCCCUUCGGGGUACACGAGUGGCGAACGGGUGAGUAACACGUGGGUGAUCUGCCCUGCACUUCGGGAUAAGCCUGGGAAACUGGGUCUAAUACCGGAUAGGACCCUGGGAUGCAUGUCCUGGGGUGGAAAGCUUUUGUGGUGUGGGAUGGGCCCGCGGCCUAUCAGCUUGUUGGUGGGUGAUGGCCUACCACGGCGACGACGGGUAGCCGGCCUGAGAGGGUGACCGGCCACACUGGGACUGAGAUACGGCCCAGACUCCUACGGGAGGCAGCAGGGGGGAAUAUUGCACAAUGGGCGCGAGCCUGAGGCAGCGACGCCGCGUGGGGGAUGACGGCCUUCGGGUUGUAAACCUCUUUCAGCACCGACGAAGCGCAAGUGACGGUAGGUGCAGAAGAAGGACCGGCCAACUACGUGCCAGCAGCCGCAGUAA
rnacentral:rRNA from 1 species